UACGAAGGGGGCUAGCGUUGCUCGGAAUUACUGGGCGUAAAGCGCACGUAGGCGGUCUUUUAAGUCGGGGGUGAAAUCCUGGAGCUCAACUCCAGAACUGCCUUCGAUACUGGAAGACUUGAGUCCGGGAGAGGUGAGUGGAACUGCGAGUGUAGAGGUGAAAUUUGUAGAUAUUCGCAAGAACACCAGUGGCGAAGGCGGCUCACUGGCCCGAUACUGACGCUGAGGCACGAAAGCGUGGGGAGCAAACAGG
rnacentral:rRNA from 1 species